rnacentral:rRNA from 1 species
GACGAACCGUGCGAACGUUGUUCGGAAUCACUGGGCUUAAAGGGCGCGUAGGCGGGUCUCGUAGUCUGGAGUGAAAGCCCACGGCUCAACCGUGGAAGCGCUUCGGAUACUCGGGACCUCGAGGGGGGCAGGGGCGUGCGGAACUUCCGGUGGAGCGGUGAAAUGCGUAGAUAUCGGAAGGAACGCCGGCGGCGAAAGCGGCGCACUGGACCUCUACUGACGCUGAGGCGCGAAAGCCAGGGGAGCAAACGGG